GCGCAACCCUUAUUGUUAGUUGCCAUCAUUCAGUUGGGCACUCUAGCAAGACUGCCGGUGACAAACCGGAGGAAGGUGGGGAUGACGUCAAAUCAUCAUGCCCCUUAUGACCUGGGCUACACACGUGCUACAAUGGGAAGUACAACGAGUUGCGAAGUCGCGAGGCUAAGCUAAUCUCUUAAAGCUUCUCUCAGUUCGGAUUGCAGGCUGCAACUCGCCUGCAUGAAGCCGGAAUCGCUAGUAAUCGCGGAUCAGCACGCCGCGGUGAAUACGUUCCCGGGCCUUGUACACACCGCCCGUC
rnacentral:rRNA from 1 species